rnacentral:rRNA from 4 species
ACGAGUGGCGGACGGGUGAGUAAUGUCUGGGAAACUGCCUGAUGGAGGGGGAUAACUACUGGAAACGGUAGCUAAUACCGCAUAACGUCGCAAGACCAAAGAGGGGGACCUUCGGGCCUCUUGCCAUCGGAUGUGCCCAGAUGGGAUUAGCUAGUAGGUGGGGUAACGGCUCACCUAGGCGACGAUCCCUAGCUGGUCUGAGAGGAUGACCAGCCACACUGGAACUGAGACACGGUCCAGACUCCUACGGGAGGCAGCAGUGGGGAAUAUUGCACAAUGGGCGCAAGCCUGAUGCAGCCAUGCCGCGUGUAUGAAGAAGGCCUUCGGGUUGUAAAGUACUUUCAGCGGGGAGGAAGGGAGUAAAGUUAAUACCUUUGCUCAUUGACGUUACCCGCAGAAGAAGCACCGGCUAACUCCGUGCCAGCAGCCGCGGUAAUACGGAGGGUGCAAGCGUUAAUCGGAAUUACUGGGCGUAAAGCGCACGCAGGCGGUUUGUUAAGUCAGAUGUGAAAUCCCCGGGCUCAACCUGGGAACUGCAUC